GAUGAACGCUAGCUACAGGCUUAACACAUGCAAGUCGAGGGGCAGCAUGGUCUUAGCUUGCUAAGGCCGAUGGCGACCGGCGCACGGGUGAGUAACACGUAUCCAACCUGCCGUCUACUCUUGGACAGCCUUCUGAAAGGAAGAUUAAUACAAGAUGGCAUCAUGAGUCCGCAUGUUCACAUGAUUAAAGGUAUUCCGGUAGACGAUGGGGAUGCGUUCCAUUAGAUAGUAGGCGGGGUAACGGCCCACCUAGUCUUCGAUGGCUAGGGGUUCUGAGAGGCAGGUCCCCCACAUUGGAACUGAGACACGGUCCAAACUCCUACGGGAGGCAGCAGUGAGGAAUAUUGGUCAAUGGGCGAGAGCCUGAACCAGCCAAGUAGCGUGAAGGAUGACUGCCCUAUGGGUUGUAAACUUCUUUUAUAAAGGAAUAAAGUCGGGUAUGGAUACCCGUUUGCAUGUACUUUAUGAAUAAGGAUCGGCUAACUCCGUG
rnacentral:rRNA from 1 species